CCUCCCACUCCUUCACUCACACAACCAAAUUACUUAACAUUCCAACCAUAUAAAACGUAUUAACCUGGCAACCAUAGUUACGAAGCACGUGACAUGACACUUAUAAGAUCACAACAUGAAAAUGCGGGACCUCAUACAGUACGUCAUUUAAGAAAAAAAAUCCUUGUAUUCAUGAUUGAGGGAAGGUCUGCCGGAAUGAACACCCACUUUCUGUUACUGAGCUUUCAGCAAGAACUGCUGAUGUGAUGGUGAAGAAAAAUAGGUUAUCUGAUUCUUUCCGUCAUUCUUUUUCUGCACCUUCCAGACAUGGACCCUACGCUUUAAAUCUGAGAAAAGAUAGCUCUAGGGUUCAUGCCCGUACUCCACACAAGAACUGUGUUAGGUGGAAAUCCCAGAUGUUAUCAGAUGUUCCCAAAACAACUGAAGUUAGAAAACAGAGGAGCACAUACAAGACAGAUGUCAUGGCACCCAAAAUAAAUGGUUCUAACCAUGCAGUUUAUUUGCAGAGAAAACAGAAUCAUCCAGUUGUUAAAUCUAAAAGCUCAGCUUUACAUGAAAUACAUGGAAAGCGGCAGAAAGACUUUUCAAUGCAAAUGAAUGACAAGUCUUCAAACACUGUUUUGCAUACAAGAGAAAAGAGAAAAAGCACUUCUCUGAAGGUAAAGAAGACAAACAUAGAUUUCCAAGUGGAAGAAGGUGUGAACAAAAAAAAUAAGACCAACCUCAAAGCUGACAAAUAUUUUGAGCUGAAAGAAAAUGCAAAGGAAAUAUAUGAAUCAGAAGAUGACGAGCAUUACAGAAAAGUAAGAUUUUUGCAUAGGAUGCCUAGUACACCUGACAACUGAUACUUAUAAGAAGAAAAGGAGUCUAAUUGUCUUAUUGAUAAUUGAAUUUCUGGCUAUACAAAACUGAAGUUUGUAAUUAUAAAUGUGAAACCAUAUGAUUUCUGAAUGUCUCUGAUAUCUUUGGGACAUCCCUUUUUUGUAAUUAAAAUGUUUAAGUUUUUAAAGGUUAAAUAGUUUUUUUUAUUUUUCAGAUACCAUACUUGUGUUAAACAAUAAAUUAAUUAUUCUGAAGGAACUAUAUCUUCUUUAGAAAAAAGCACAUCUUGACAUAAGCUUUCAGAUAAGAUUGUAUACUGUAUAAAUCCACAUAAUCCCUGCACAUUUUAAGACAGAAUGGCAUACAAACAUAACUGAGUUAUAAUUUAAUUCCAUAAAGAAUGUGUAUAUUUUUAAAAAUGUGUUUUUUUUAUAUAUUUUUAAAAGCAUUGACAAAUUAUAAUUUCAGUUGUUACAACAUUAAUAUUUGUAUUUGUGAACAUUUUUUUAA
rnacentral:lncRNA from 1 species